AUUGAACGCUGGCGGCAGGCUUAACACAUGCAAGUCGAACGAGUGGCGGACGGGUGAGUAAUGCUUGGGAAUCUAGCUUAUGGAGGGGGAUAACUACGGGAAACUGUAGCUAAUACCGCGUACCAUAGGAUGAGCCCAAGUGGGAUUAGGUAGUUGGUGGGGUAAAGGCUCACCAGGCCGACGAUCCCUAGCUGGUCUGAGAGGAUGACAGGCAAAACUGGAAUGAGGACAGGGCCCAGAUUCCUACGGGAGGCGGAGUUGGGGAAUAUGGCCCAAUGGGGCCAACCGAUGGAGGCCAUGCGGCGUGAAUGAAGAGGGCCUUCGGGUGGUAAAGUAUUUUCGGUAGCGAGGCGUUAACGACAGAGGAAGAACCGGCUACCUCCGUGCCAGCAGCGGCGGUAAUC
rnacentral:rRNA from 1 species